rnacentral:rRNA from 1 species
GACGAACCGUGCGAACGUUGUUCGGAAUCACUGGGCUUAAAGGGCGCGUAGGCGGCGGAUCAAGUCCGGGGUGAAAGCCCCCAGCUCAACUGGGGAAGUGCCUUGGAUACUGAUUCGCUCGAGGGAGGUAGGGGUCGCGGGAACUUCCGGUGGAGCGGUGAAAUGCGUUGAGAUGUGGAGGAAUACCGAUGGCGAAGGCAGCCCCCUGGGAUAACACUGACGCUCAUGCACGAAAGCGUGGGGAGCAAACAGG